GCACGAGUCUAUUGGCAUAGAAUAUGGAAGAUUUUCUACGUAAGCUGGUUGUACAAAGUUUGUUUGUUCAUACAGGCAGUGUGAUUUGGGGGGAUUUUGUUUGCUCCGCAAGGUAGCCAGAGCCAGCCAGUUUUUCACAAAAUAGGCAUGAUUCAACUGCAAAACAGAAAAGUAGUGUGGAGAACUAGUAAGAAUUGUGCCUGCCAUCCAAUUCGUGACGCAUGGCGAGAUUCCUCUACCACUCUAUAAAUGGAG
rnacentral:lncRNA from 1 species